rnacentral:rRNA from 1 species
GAAUAUUGGACAAUGGGCGAAAGCCUGAUCCAGCCAUGCCGCGUGUGUGAAGAAGGUCUGCGGAUUGUAAAGCACUUGAAGUCGGGAGGAAGUGCAGUAAGCGAAUCCCUUGCUGUUUUGACGUUACCGACAGAAUAAGCACCGGAUAUCGCGGUGCCAGCCGCCGCGGUAAUACAGAGGGUGCAGACGUUAAUCGGAAUUACUGGGCGUAAAGCGCGCGUAGGUGGUUCGUUAAGUUGGAUGUGAAAUCCCCGGGCUCAACCUGGGAACUGCAUCCAAAACUGGCGAGCUAGAGUAGGGCAGAGGGUGGUGGAAUUUCCUGUGUAGCGGUGAAAUGCGUAGAUAUAGGAAGGAACACCAGUGGCGAAGGCGACCACCUGGGUUCAUACUGACACUGAGGUGCGAAAGCGUGGGGAGCAAACAG